CAUACAGGUGUGUAGGUAUGUAUGUAUGUAUGUAUGUAUGUAUGUGUGUGUGUGUGUGUGUGUGUGUGUGUGUGUGUGUGUGUGGUUCUCUAUAUAAGACCGACACUACCACCACCACCACCAUAUCCAAGAUGGCGGCUACCUACUUUGUCUUCCUCCUGCUGGCUGCUGGUGCUACAGGAGCGGCGGGGCAGGGCAGCAUGAACAACUGCCUUCCUAACUGCACCAAUAACGCCCCGGGGGACAAGGUGCCGGACCCUCAGGACUGCAGGAAGUUCUACACCUGUCUUGCCACUGACGGCCCAAGCGAUGUUUCCUUCUUCUGUUCGGAAGGUGAAAGAUUUGACUCAGUUUCAAGGGAGUGCCUGGCGGAGGGGGCUGUCUGCGGUCUAUGCAUGUCGAAGUGUAAAUACGAUUGCGUUAUAGCGGAAGAUUACGCUGCAGUACGUGGUGAUUGUGGGAAAAUGACCUUGUGUGAGUUCAACCCGCCUCUGACCAUUGACUGUGGACCCGCAACACCCUACUUUGACGGGGAAAGCUGCCAGGAUGACCACAGCAAAUGUUGUGAAGACUGCAUUGUGUUCUGUCAAGAGCCUAAUAUUGAGACAGCAGACCCAACCAGCUGUAAGCAUUUCUACUUCUGCUCUGAGAUCGGAUUUCCCCUCACAGACGACCGAUACGAGUGUCCGGAGGAUGAAAAUUUUGAUGUAGAAGCUUCCAUGUGUGUUAGGGGCGCCCCGUGUUCCCAGCCUUGCGCUCCUACCACGCCUGCUCCUUCUACUACUACUACAUCUACCACGACCCUAGCAACGACAACAACUACCGGGUCAUAGACAGCCUGACCUCUUGUAUUGACCUUUUAAGCAGUACUAGUAUGGCGGUUUGCAAGGGUGGUUUAAAAGGUACUAGUGAAAGUUGGGUUUUCAAAGGUGGUUUAAGAAGUUGAAGAAGUUUAACACAUCUUUAACAGGCUGUAGUGGAAGUUACUGGGGUUUUCAAGGCUCCAGGGAUAGUUUAACAGGCUGUAGUGGAAGUUACUGGGGUUUUCAAGGUUCCAGGGAUAGUUUAACAGGCUGUAGUGGAAGUUACUGGGGCUUUCAAGGUUCCAGGGAUAGUUUAACAGGCUGCAUUGGAAGUUACUGGGGUUUCCAAGGUUCCAGGGAUAGUUUAACAGGCUGUAGUGGAAGUUACUGGGGUUUUCAAGGUUCCAGGGAUAGUUUAACAGGCUGUAGUGGAAGUUACUGGGGUUUUCAAGGUUCCAGGGAUAGUUUAACAGGCUGCAGUGGAAGUUACUGGGGUUUUCAAGGUUCCAGGGAUAGUUUAACAGGCUGUAGUGGAAGUUACUGGGGUUUUCAAGGUUCCAGGGAUAGUUUAACAGGCUGGAGUGGAAGUUACUGGGGUUUUCAAGGUUCCAGGGAUAGUUUGACACCGUUUCUACAAUGCCACCUUUGAAAACUUUAAAAAUAACUUUCACUCUUCCUUCCUUCCUUCCUUCCUUCCUCCCUUCCUCCCUUUCUCCCUUUUUCAUUUCACCCCCAGACAAACAUAUUGAAAAGUGAAGUAUUUAAAUAAAGACCUUUAUGAACAUAGAACAAAA